rnacentral:rRNA from 1 species
CGCUGGCGGCGUGCUUAACACAUGCAAGUCGAACGGAAAGGCCUGCUUUCCCUUGUGGAUUGCGGGUGCUCGAGUGGCGAACGGGUGAGUAACACGUGAGUGAUCUGCCCCCAACUUGGGUAUAAGCCUGGGAAACUGGGUCUAAUUCCCGAUAGGACUGCAGGGUGGUGCCUGUGGUGGAAAACGAUUUUCUAGUGGUUGGGGAUGAGCUCGCGGCCUAUCAGCUUGUUGGUGGGGUAAUGGCCUACCAAGGCGGCGACGGGUAGCCGGCCUGAGAGGGUGGACGGCCACAUUGGGACUGGGAUACGGCCCAGACUCCUACGGGAGGCAGCAGUGGGGAAUAUUGCACAAUGGGCGGAAGCCUGAUGCAGCGACGCCGCGUGGGGGAUGACGGCCUUCGGGUUGUAAACUCCUUUCGACCGCGAGGAAGCCACCUGGUUGAAGGGUGGUGACGGUAGUGGUAGAAGAAGCACCGGCUAACUACGUG